rnacentral:rRNA from 1 species
UACGGGGGGUGCAAGCGUUGUUCGGAUUUACUGGGCGUAAAGGGCGCGUAGGCGGCGAUGUGUGUCGGGUGUGAAAUCCCAGGGCCCAACCCUGGAAGUGCGCCCGAAACUGCAUCGCUCGAGUGCGGGAGGGGAGAUCGGAAUGCAGGGUGUAUCGGUGAAAUGCGUUGAUAUCCUGCAGAACACCGGUGGCGAAGGCGGAUCUCUGGAACGCAACUGACGCUGAGGCGCGAAAGUCGGGGGAGCAAACAGGAUUAGAUACCCUGGUAGUCCCGACCUUAAACGGUGCACACUUGGGGUGGGGGGAUAUCACCCCCCCCGUCCCGCAGCUAACGCGUUAAGUGUGCCGCCUGGGGAGUACGGCCGCAAGGUUAAAACUCAAAGAAAUUGACGGGGGCCCGCACAAGCAGAGGAGCAUGUGGCUUAAUUCGAUGCAACGCGAAGAACCUUACCCAGGUUUGACAUGUGACUGCACGGCCGAUGAAAGUCGGCCUCCUUCGAGGGUGUCACACAGGUGCUGCAUGGCUGUCGUCAGUUCGUGCCGUGAGGUGUUUGGUUAAGUCCAGCAACGAACGCAACCCCUGUGUCCAGUUGCCAGCGCGUAAUGGCGGGAACUCUGGACAGACUGCCCGUUCACACGGGAGGAAGGUGGGGAUGACGUCAAGUCAGUAUGGCCCUUACAUCUGGGGCUGCACACGUGCUACAAUGGCCGGUACAAAGGGAAGCAAAACCGCAAGGUCCAGCCAAUCCCCAAAACCGGCCCCAGUUCAGAUUGGGGUCUGCAACCCGACCCCAUGAAGUCGGAUUUGCUAGUAACGGCGCAUCAGCUACGGCGCCGUGAAUACGUUCCCGGGCCUUGUACACACCGCCCGUCACAUCAUGAAAGCCGUCUGCACCCGAAGCCGGCGCACCGACCCGCAAGGGGGGGAGCCGUCUAAGGUGUGGGUGGUGAUUGGGAUG